rnacentral:rRNA from 1 species
GACGAACGCUGGCGGCGUGCUUAACACAUGCAAGUCGAACGGAAAGGCCCUGCUUUUGUGGGGUGCUCGAGUGGCGAACGGGUGAGUAACACGUGAGUAACCUGCCCUUGACUUUGGGAUAACUUCAGGAAACUGGGGCUAAUACCGGAUAGGAGCUCCUGCUGCAUGGUGGGGGUUGGAAAGUUUCGGCGGUUGGGGAUGGACUGGCGGCUUAUCAGCUUGUUGGUGGGGUAGUGGCUUACCAAGGCUUUGACGGGUAGCCGGCCUGAGAGGGUGACCGGCCACAUUGGGACUGAGAGACGGCCCAGACUCCUACGGGAGGCAGCAGUGGGGAAUAUUGCACAAUGGGCGGAAGCCUGAUGCAGCAACGCCGCGUGCGUGAUGACGGCCUUCGGGUUGUAAACCGCUUUCGCCUGUGACGAAGCGUGAGUGACGGUAAUGGGUAAAGAAGCACCGGCUAACUACGUG